AGAAUCAACGCUGGCGGCGCGCUUAACACAUGCAAGUCGCACGAGAAAGGGGCAACCUGAGUAAAGUGGCGUACGGGUGAGUAACACGUGGAUCAUCUACCUUUUAGUGGGGAAUACCCCUGGGAAACUGGGGACAAUACCGCAUAAGCUCGUGAGAGGAAAGCGUCGUUGUCAAAGACGACGCGCUGAAAGAGGAGUCCGCGGCUGAUUAGCUAGUUGGUGAGGUAACGGCCCACCAAGGCGAAGAUCGGUAGCCGGCCUGAGAGGGCACACGGCCACACUGGCACUGAAAUACGGGCCAGACUCCUACGGGAGGCAGCAGUGGGGAAUCUUGCACAAUGGAGGAAACUCUGAUGCAGCGACGCCGCGUGAACGAUGAAGCCCUUCGGGGUGUAAAGUUCUUUCGACGGAACGAUAAUGACGGUACCGAAGAAGAAGCUGCGGCUAACUACGUGCCAGCAGCCGC
rnacentral:rRNA from 1 species